rnacentral:rRNA from 1 species
AAAAACUCCGGUGGUGUGAGAUGGAUCCGCGUCUGAUUAGCCAGUUGGCGGGGUAACGGCCCACCAAAGCGACGAUCAGUAGCCGGCCUGAGAGGGUGACCGGCCACAUUGGGACUGAGACACGGCCCAAACUCCUACGGGAGGCAGCAGUGGGGAAUAUUGCACAAUGGGCGAAAGCCUGAUGCAGCGACGCCGCGUGAGUGAAGAAGUAUUUCGGUAUGUAAAGCUCUAUCAGCAGGGAAGAAAAUGACGGUACCUGACUAAGAAGCCCCGGCUAACUACGUGCCAGCAGCCGCGGUAAUACGUAGGGGGCAAGCGUUAUCCGGAUUUACUGGGUGUAAAGGGAGCGUAGACGGCGAAGCAAGUCUGAAGUGAAAACCCAGGGCUCAACCCUGGGACUGCUUUGGAAACUGUUUUGCUAGAGUGUCGGAGAGGUAAGUGGAAUUCCUAGUGUAGCGGUGAAAUGCGUAGAUAUUAGGAGGAACACCAGUGGCGAAGGCGGCUUACUGGACGAUAACUGACGUUGAGGCUCGAAAGCGUGGGGAGCAAACAGGAUUGGAUACCCUGGUAGUCCACGCCGUAAACGAUGAAUGCUAGGUGUUGGGGGGCAAAGCCCUUCGGUGCCGC